rnacentral:rRNA from 1 species
UAUUGCACAAUGGAGGAAACUCUGAUGCAGCGACGCCGCGUGAGUGACGAAGGCCUUCGGGUUGUAAAGCUCUGUUCUCAGGGAAAAAGAAAGUGAUUGUACCUGAGGAGAAAGGACCGGCUAACUUCGUGCCAGCAGCCGCGGUAAGACGAGGGGUCCAAGCGUUGUUCGGAAUCAUUGGGCGUAAAGCGGGUGUAGGUGGCUCUGUAAGUCAGGAGUGAAAGCCCCGGGCUUAACUCGGGAAGUGCUUUUGAUACUGCAGAGCUUGAAUGUGGGAGAGGAUCGUGGAAUUCCAGGUGUAGUGGUGAAAUACGUAGAUAUCUGGAGGAACACCGGUGGCGAAGGCGGCGAUCUGGCCCAACAUUGACACUGAGACCCGAAAGCGUGGGGAUCAAACAGGAUUAGAUACCCUGGUAGUCACGCCGUAAACGAUGGAUACUUGGUGUUGGAGGUAUUGACCCCUUCAGUGCCGAAGCUAACGCGUUAAGUAUCCCGCCUGGGGAGUACGGCCGCAAGGUUAAAACUCAAAGAAAUUGACGGGGGCCCGCACAAGCGGUGGAGCAUGUGGUUUAAUUCGAUGCAACGCGCAGAACCUUACCUAGGCUUGACAUGAAUUGGAAGGCUACCAGAAAUGGUGCCGCCCGCAAGGGCCGAUUCACAGGUGCUACAUGGCUGUCGUCAGCUCGUGUCGUGAGAUGUUGG